GCGGGAUUAGUACAGUGGUAGUACAUCAGCUUCCCAAGCUGAAAACGCGGGUUCGAUUCCCGUAUCCCGCU
rnacentral:tRNA from 1 species